CUUGGUCAUUUAGAGGAAGUAAAAGUCGUAACAAGGUCUCCGUUGGUGAACCAGCGGAGGGAUCAUUACCGAGUUUACAACUCCCAAACCCCUGUGAACAUACCACUUGUUGCCUCGGCGGAUCAGCCCGCUCCCGGUAAAACGGGACGGCCCGCCAGAGGACCCCUAAACUCUGUUUCUAUAUGUAACUUCUGAGUAAAACCAUAAAUAAAUCAAAACUUUCAACAACGGAUCUCUUGGUUCUGGCAUCGAUGAAGAACGCAGCAAAAUGCGAUAAGUAAUGUGAAUUGCAGAAUUCAGUGAAUCAUCGAAUCUUUGAACGCACAUUGCGCCCGCCAGUAUUCUGGCGGGCAUGCCUGUUCGAGCGUCAUUUCAACCCUCAAGCACAGCUUGGUGUUGGGACUCGCGUUAAUUCGCGUUCCUCAAAUCGAUUGGCGGUCACGUCGAGCUUCCAUAGCGUAGUAGUAAAACCCUCGUUACUGGUAAUCGUCGCGGCCACGCCGUUAAACCCCAACUUCUGAAUGUUGACCUCGGAUCAGGUAGGAAUACCCGCUGAACUUAAGCAUAUCAAUAAGCGGAGGA
rnacentral:rRNA from 1 species